UACAGAGGGGGCAAGCGUUGUUCGGAAUUACUGGGCGUAAAGGGCGCGUAGGCGGCCUGCUAAGUCGAACGUGAAAUCCCCGGGCUCAACCUGGGAAUGGCAAUGGAGACUGCAAGGCUAGAGUUUGGCAGAGGGGGGUAGAAUUCCACGUGUAGCAGUGAAAUGCGUAGAUAUGUGGAGGAACACCGAUGGCGAAGGCAGCCUUCUGGGCCAACACUGGCGCUCAUGCACGAAAGCGUGGGGAGCAAACAGG
rnacentral:rRNA from 1 species